rnacentral:tRNA from 1 species
GGUGACGUAGCUCAAUGGUAGAGUUCUCGGCUUAUAUCCAAGCGGUUGAAGGUUCGAGUCCUUCCGUCACUA